rnacentral:lncRNA from 1 species
AUACAGUAGUUAAAAGUAAUGCUAUUAAAAUGCUCUGAAAUGUGUGAGCUGAUAAUUAAUCAAAUAUUGUCUGGCUGCAUUUACACAGGAAGUCCAAUUCUGAUAUUUUUGACACUAAUUGUACUUUUGACCAAUCAGAUGUGUUGCCUAUAAUUGUGCAAAAGAUCAGAAUUGGGCUGCCUGUGUAAAUGCAGACCGUGAUAAAGGAGGCCAUAAUUACAGUCCUUCAAUGUUGACUUUUAAUGUUUUAAUUGGAUGCAGGCGUUAAAACACAGAAUAGACAUUCUGUUCACCUGGAGUAUCAUGCCAAUUACAGAAGACUGUAACUGUGAUGUUGUCAACACUAUCUAUGGAAAAUAACUGCAGAGCAAUUACUCUAGCACUGAACUGCAGAGAUAAUGGCAGAAUAUGAAGGAGCUUCUAUCGAAGAAGAAUAGGUUCACUAUGGACAAGG